AUGACGGGUGGCUCUCCAGCAGACGUGGAUUCUGGUGGACGUGUGGCAUCGUUGGAACAACAUUUGCCACUCCCCCUGCUCCAGCCUACCUGGGCCAGGGAAGGGGCUUGGAGGUAUCUUCCCAGAGGGAUUGUACUAACUGAAGCCACCCUGAUACCCUCUUUCACCCAGUGGCAUUUGCAACUGAACACAGCACGUGUGUGAAGGGGCUGUUGUGCUUGUUGGCUUGGCAGGGGCCAAGAGGAGACUGAUGGCAGUUACCGGAUGACUUCAUGUAUCCCGAGAGGCAGUUGCAAGGACAGUCAAGUCCCCCAGGUGGGUCCCAGGAUCUAGAAUCACAUAGAAUACAAGGAUCUGGGCACAUCUAUGAAGACAUUUUUGGAUUGGGCUAAGAUAGGAACUCAUCCUGAAUGUGGUGGCACC
rnacentral:lncRNA from 1 species